AUGAUGUGUCCAUAGAAAUUUCAAAAUACAAUUCCAUGAAUUUAAAUCCUAUUAAUCGAGAAUUUCAUUGUUUGGAUUUCAUGAUGUAGAGUUUUAAAAUGACAAGAAUUUGUAUUCAGACUAAUCUUAGUUAAAGAAAUUGACAAAUGAUGCUUAUUUUGUGAGGAAUUCAAGUCGGGAAUUUAAGUUCCUAAAUUUCACGAUUAUUUUCCUGUGAAAAUUGCUAAUUCCAUAAGAUAAGUAUCCAAACGAGGAAAACCGUCCUAAGAAAUUAGGAAUUCCUUAUUUUUUAUUAAAUUCUCAGAAAUUCACCCACAUCCAAACACACCGUAAAUGUAUAUACCGCGCCAAGGCGCGGGUAUAAUUCUAGUGUAGCUCUAAAUAUUAGUAAUCUGUAAAUAGUAAUCAUAUCCAGUUACCAAUAACAUCUCAGAAUUUUAGUCGAUCGAGCUCUCUAAUCCGUUCUUCUAUAAAUAAUUUUCCACCCCCUCAAAUGCUAAUGAAUCCAAUCGAGACAGACACAACAGUACGUUUCCAACCGAUACCUCUCUCGCAUAAAAAAGAAUGAUUUGAAGAUCGGUAAUUCACGUGUCAAGAGGUUGCUAGCUGUUGUAAUAUUCAAGAUGUUGUUUUGG
rnacentral:lncRNA from 1 species